AGAGUUUGAUCCUGGCUCAGGAUGAACGCUGGCGGCGUGCUUAACACAUGCAAGUCGAACGAGCCUUCGGGCUAGUGGCGGACGGGUGAGUAACGCGUGGGAAUCUGCCCUCAGGAGGGGGAUAACGGCCGGAAACGGCCGCUAAUACCCCAUAUGCCGAGAGGUGAAACGAAUUUCGCCUGAGGAUGAGCCCGCGUCUGAUUAGCUAGUUGGUGAGGUAAUGGCUCACCAAGGCAUCGAUCAGUAGCUGGUCUGAGAGGAUGAUCAGCCACACUGGGACUGAGACACGGCCCAGACUCCUACGGGAGGCAGCAGUGGGGAAUUUCCGCAAUGGGCGCAAGCCUGACGGAGCAACGCCGCGUGAGGGACGAAGGCCUCUGGGCUGUAAACCUCUUUUCUCAAGGAAGAAGACAUGACGGUACUUGAGGAAUAAGCCACGGCUAAUUCCGUGCCAGCAGCCGCGGUAAUACGGGAGUGGCAAGCGUUAUCCGGAAUUAUUGGGCGUAAAGCGUCCGCAGGCGGCCUUGAAAGUCUGUUGUUAAAGCGUGGAGCUCAACUCCAUUUCAGCAAUGGAAACUACAAGGCUAGAGUGUGGUAGGGGCAGAGGGAAUUCCCGGUGUAGCGGUGAAAUGCGUAGAUAUCGGGAAGAACACCAGUGGCGAAGGCGCUCUGCUGGGCCAUAACUGACGCUCAUGGACGAAAGCCAGGGGAGCGAAAGGGAUUAGAUACCCCUGUAGUCCUGGCCGUAAACGAUGAACACUAGGUGUCGGGAGAAUUAACCCUUUCGGUGUCGUAGCCAACGCGUUAAGUGUUCCGCCUGGGGAGUACGCACGCAAGUGUGAAACUCAAAGGAAUUGACGGGGGCCCGCACAAGCGGUGGAGUAUGUGGUUUAAUUCGAUGCAACGCGAAGAACCUUACCAGGGUUUGACAUCCUGCGAAUCCUUUGGAAACUUAGGAGUGCCUUCGGGAGCGCAGUGACAGGUGGUGCAUGGCUGUCGUCAGCUCGUGUCGUGAGAUGUUGGGUUAAGUCCCGCAACGAGCGCAACCCACGUCUUUAGUUGCCAGCAUUUAGUUGGGCACUCUAGAGAGACCGCCGGUGAUAAACCGGAGGAAGGUGUGGAUGACGUCAAGUCAUCAUGCCCCUUACAUCCUGGGCUACACACGUACUACAAUGCUACGGACGAAGGGCAGCAAACUCGCGAGAGCUAGCAAAUCCCAUAAACCGUGGCUCAGUUCAGAUCGUAGGCUGCAACUCGCCUACGUGAAGGAGGAAUCGCUAGUAAUCGCAGGUCAGCAUACUGCGGUGAAUACGUUCCCGGGCCUUGUACACACCGCCCGUCACACCAUGGAAGUUGGCCAUGCCCGAAGUCG
rnacentral:rRNA from 1 species